rnacentral:rRNA from 1 species
CCUACAGGAGGCUGCAGUGGGGAAUAUUGGACAAUGGGGGGAACCCUGAUCCAGCCAUGCCGCGUGUGUGAAGAAGGCCCUCGGGUUGUAAAGCACUUUCAGUGAGGAAGAACGCCUGGUGGUUAAUACCCAUCAGGAAAGACAUCACUCACAGAAGAAGCACCGGCUAACUCCGUGCCAGCAGCCGCGGUAAUACGGAGGGUGCGAGCGUUAAUCGGAAUUACUGGGCGUAAAGCGCGCGUAGGUGGCUUGAUAAGCCGGUUGUGAAAGCCCCGGGCUCAACCUGGGAACGGCAUCCGGAACUGUCAAGCUAGAGUGCAGGAGAGGAAGGUAGAAUUCCCGGUGUAGCGGUGAAAUGCGUAGAGAUCGGGAGGAAUACCAGUGGCGAAGGCGGCCUUCUGGACUGACACUGACACUGAGGUGCGAAAGCGUGGGUAGCAAACAGGAUUAGAUACCCUUGUAGUC